AAAGAUGAUAUUGUCACAAACCAAGAAUUCUGGUUAAUCUAGUUUUGUGCAUCUGA
rnacentral:snoRNA from 1 species